GUUUGAUCCUGGCUCAGAAUCAACGCUGGCGGCGUGCCUAACACAUGCAAGUCGAACGAGAAAGUGGAGCAAUCCAUGAGUAAAGUGGCGCACGGGUGAGUAACACGUGACUAACCUACCCUUGAGUGGGGGAUAACCUAGGGAAACCUGGGCUAAUACCGCAUAAUAUCGAGAGAUCAAAGGAGCAAUUCGCUUAAGGAGGGGGUCGCGGCUGAUUAGCUAGUUGGUGAGGUAAUGGCUCACCAAGGCUAUGAUCAGUAUCCGGCCUGAGAGGGCGCACGGACACACUGGAACUGAAACACGGCCCAGACUCCUACGGGAGGCAGCAGUGGGGAAUUUUGCGCAAUGGGGGAAACCCUGACGCAGCAACGCCGCGUGGAGGAUGAAGUCCCUUGGGACGUAAACUCCUUUCGAUCGGGACGAUAAUGACGGUACCGGAAGAAGAAGCCCCGGCUAACUUCGUGCCAGCAGCCGCGGUAAUACGAGGGGGGCAAGCGUUGUUCGGAAUUAUUGGGCCUAAAGGGUGCGUAGGCGGUUCGGUAAGUCACCAGUGAAAUCUAUGGGCUCAACCCAUAGUCUGCUGGCGAAACUGCCGGGCUUGAGUAUGGGAGAGGUGAGUGGAAUUUCCGGUGUAGCGGUGAAAUGCGUAGAUAUCGGAAGGAACACCUGUGGCGAAAGCGGCUCACUGGACCAUAACUGACGCUGAGGCACGAAAGCUAGGGGAGCAAACAGGAUUAGAUACCCUGGUGGUCCUAGCCCUAAACGAUGACUGCUUGGUUUGACGGGUACCCAAUCCCGCCGAGCCGAAGCUAACGCGAUAAGCAGUCCGCCUGGGGAGUACGGU
rnacentral:rRNA from 1 species